AAGUAUAACCACAGCUUCCAUUUACACCACCAAAUAAAAAUCUGAAUUUUCAUUGAUGUGUCUUAUUCUUGUUGAGUACCCAUGAAUGACACUAAAUACCCAUUCUCUUUCUCCUUUAAUUUUAGGUUGUCGUACUGUUUUUCCCCAAUAUCUUCUUCUUAAAGUAAGAAUCUGCAAUCUGCAUAUACUUCCUUCAUGAAAGUUGUAUAUCGUGAAAAGUUAUUGAAUUUAGACCCAAAAAUCUUCUGAUUCGGAGUUUGGAGUACAGAAUUAUAUACCCUCUAUUAGAAUUGAAAAGGGAUAUUACAAGCCUCCCCCGGCUAUCAAGUAUAAUAAUCGCGAUUCAAGGAUGCUUAAAAGAUGUUUUAUGACGUAAAUAUAAAAAUGACGAAACAUGAUAAAUGAAAGUGAAAGACGGUUCUUGGCAGUAAUUUAUGGGUACCGCAAGUGUCACCUUUGUUGUGACCGCCUUUCGGAUAUGGGUACCGCAAGUGUCACCUUUGCUGUGACCGCCUAUCGGAUAUGUUAUGGGCACCGCAAGUGUCACAUUUGUUGUGACCGCCUUUCGAAUUAAUGUUAUGGGAACCGCAAGUGUCACCUUUGUUGUGGCCGCCUUUCGGUUUAAUGAUUAUAAUGUUGUACUUGCCAAGUUACCAUUAAAAAUGAUGUAAGAUUAUAAAGGAUAAUAUCUCA